CCCUCCCUCGCCGCUGGCCCUCUCCCGCUCCGGCUGCCUCGAAUGCAGGAAAUGCGCAAAAAGACGUCAGGACUUGGCAGAGUAGAAACAUGCAUUCCUCCUUGGAGACUUUGGAGAGGCCAAGUUUGAGCUUUGGAAACAAAACCAUUUCUGAAUCGAGUGAAAGAAAAAAAAAAAAGCUCAAACUUAACUUGAAAAAGUUCAUAAGCAGCUGAACAGUUUUACUUCAGAUUCCUGAAAGGAAUGCCGUGGAUCGAUUUUCCCUGCCGACCCCCAGAAGAACGGAUCGACUGAUCGAACAGUCAGCCCAGCAGCGUGGUGGUGUGGUUAGAGCACGGACUUGGGAGUCAGAAGGUCGUGGGUUCUAUUCCCGACCUGCCACUUGUCUGCUGU